rnacentral:rRNA from 1 species
GACGAACGCUGGCGGCGUGCUUAACACAUGCAAGUCGAACGGAAAGGCCCUGCUCUUGUUGGGUGCUCGUUUGCCGCACAGGUGAGAGAAACGCGAGUAUCCCGCCCCUGACUUUCGGGUAUCUCUAGGGAACUGCGGCGAAAACCCGGUAGGAGCUCCUGCAGCGUGGUGGGGGAUGGAAAGUUUCGGCGGUUGGGGAUGGACUCGCGGCUUCUCAGCUUGUUGGGGUGGUAGUGGCGGACGAAGGCUUUGACGGGUAGCCGGCCUGAGAGGGUGACCAGCCACAUUGGGACUGAGAUACGGCCCAGAAGCGUACGGGAGGCAGCAGUGGGGAAUAUUGCACAAUGGGCGGAAGCCUGAUGCAGCAACGCCGCGUGCGGGAUGACGGCCUUCGGGUUGUAAACCGCUUUCGCCUGUGACGAAGCGGGAGUGACGGUAAUGGGUAAAGAAGCACCGGCUAACUACGUG